rnacentral:rRNA from 1 species
AGCGAACGUUAGCGGGAGGCUUAACACAUGCAAGUCGAGCGCGAACGUCACCUUCGGGUGGCUAGUAGAGCGGCGGACGGGUGAGUAACACGUGGGUAAUCUGCCCUCUGGCGGGGGACAACAUUUCGAAAGGGAUGCUAAUACCGCAUAAGUCGGCCAGGUCUGCGGACCAGGUCGGGAAAGCUGCCUUCGGGUGGCACCAGAGGAGGGGCCCGCGUCGCAUCAGCUUGUUGGUGAGGUAAUGGCUCACCAAGGCGAAGACGCGUAGCUGGUCUGAGAGGAUGAUCAGCCACACUGGGACUGAGACACGGCCCAGACUCCUACGGGAGGCAGCAGUGGGGAAUAUUGGACAAUGGGCGAAAGCCUGAUCCAGCCAUCCCGCGUGAGUGAUGAAGGCCCUCGGGUCGUAAAGCUCUGUGGAGAGGGACGAAAAAAGCGUCGGUUAAUACCCGGCGAACUGACGGUACCUCUUUAGCAAGCACCGGCUAACUCCGUGCCAGCA